rnacentral:lncRNA from 1 species
AAUCCUUGAUGGAUCAGUCCUUUUCUCUUAGCACAGUUUUACCCCUUUUUCUUAUUCAAACUUAUAAUUAAUUUUUAACCCAUUUAAUGUUGGAUCAAAAUUAAAUAUAAAGUAAGUUCAAUAAAUAUUUUUGGACCAUCCAUGGUUGAUACAUUAAUUAGCCGUACUCUUGAUUCAGUUGAUGCAAAAAUUGUCCCAACGGUUCAAGCUUCUUAAGGUGCCUACUGAGCCCA